rnacentral:lncRNA from 1 species
UACUAGGCAACUAUCAAAUUUUCCUGGUGGAGGUCCUGAAAUUCAUCCUCCUUCUUCUCUCGGAUAUAGACAGGGAAGAAGUUUUCAAGAAAACAUCCAUGAAAAUCUCCCAAGUUGUAGGGGUAGGCAAUACUUCCAUUUUAACCCGCCACCAAUGUUCUGCUUCACUGGUUAGCACGAAGGCUGCUAGGGGAACCUUUUAUUCCUCAGUUAGAUCUAAGAUAGAGAAAAGAUUUUCUAUCUAUAGGAUCCAGACUUCGGCUUUUAAGGGAUCGAGACCUCCUUCAAAGUGAGAUUUUUCGGCUGGAUGAUAGUCA